rnacentral:rRNA from 1 species
AGAGUUUGAUCCUGGCUCAGGACGAACGCUGGCGGCGUGCCUAACACAUGCAAGUCGAACGAAGCUUGACGAAUGAUUUCUUCGGAAUGAAAUCUGAUAUGACUGAGUGGCGGACGGGUGAGUAACGCGUGAGCAACCUGCCCUUCGGAACGGGAUAGUGUCUGGAAACGGACAGUAAUACCGUAUAACGUAUUUUUACCGCAUGAUAGAAAUACCAAAACUGAGGUGCCGAAGGAUGGGCUCGCGUCUGAUUAGAUAGUUGGUGGGGUAACGGCCUACCAAGUCGACGAUCAGUAGCCGGACUGAGAGGUUGAACGGCCACAUUGGGACUGAGACACGGCCCAGACUCCUACGGGAGGCAGCAGUGGGGAAUAUUGCACAAUGGGGGAAACCCUGAUGCAGCGACGCCGCGUGAAGGAAGACGGUUUUCGGAUUGUAAACUUCUGUUCUUAGUGAAGAAUAAUGACGGUAGCUAAGGAGCAAGCCACGGCUAACUACGUGCCAGCAGCCGCGGUAAUACGUAGGUGGCAAGCGUUGUCCGGAAUUACUGGGUGUAAAGGGAGCGUAGGCGGGAUGCCAAGUCAGCUGUGAAAACUAUGGGCUUAACCUGUAGACUGCAGUUGAAACUGGUAUUCUUGAGUGAAGUAGAGGUUGGCGGAAUUCCGAGUGUAGCGGUGAAAUGCGUAGAUAUUCGGAGGAACACCGGUGGCGAAGGCGGCCAACUGGGCUUUAACUGACGCUGAGGCUCGAAAGUGUGGGGAGCAAACAGGAUUAGAUACCCUGGUAGUCCACACUGUAAACGAUGAUAACUAGGUGUGGGGGGUCUGACCCCUUCCGUGCCGCAGCUAACGCAAUAAGUUAUCCACCUGGGGAGUACGACCGCAAGGUUGAAACUCAAAGGAAUUGACGGGGACCCGCACAAGCAGUGGAUUAUGUGGUUUAAUUCGAAGCAACGCGAAGAACCUUACCAGCACUUGACAUCCGACUAACGAAGUAAAGUACCUUUAGGUGCCCUUCGGGGAAAGUCAAGACAGGGGGGCCAUGGUGUCCUCCCCUCCGGUCCUGAGAAUGUUGGGUUAAUUCCCCCACCAAGCGCAACCCUCGCCUUUAUUUGCUCCCCAAGAACACUCUAUGGGGCCGUCCCCCCAAGGGGGGGGAGAGGUGGGGCAAACCCAAAAUCUUCGCCCCUUAUUGCGGGGGUCACACCGAAACAAUGGCCAUCAACAAAGAGAAGCAAUACCGCGAGGUGGAGCAAAACUUCAAAAAUGGUCUCAGUUCGGACUGCAGGCUGCAACCCGCCUGCACGAAGUUGGAAUUGCUAGUAAUCGUGGAUCAGCAUGCCACGGUGAAUACGUUCCCGGGUCUUGCACACACCGCCCGUC